AUUGAACGCUGGCGGCAUGCUUUACACAUGCAAGUCGAACGGUAACAGGCCGCAAGGUGCUGACGAGUGGCGAACGGGUGAGUAAUGCAUCGGAACGUGCCCAGUCGUGGGGGAUAACGCAGCGAAAGCUGUGCUAAUACCGCAUACGAUCUGUGGAUGAAAGCGGGGGACCGUAAGGCCUCGCGCGAUUGGAGCGGCCGAUGUCAGAUUAGGUAGUUGGUGGGGUAAAGGCUCACCAAGCCGACGAUCUGUAGCUGGUCUGAGAGGACGACCAGCCACACUGGACUGAGACACGGCCCAGACUCCUACGGGAGGCAGCAGUGGGGAAUUUUGGACAAUGGGCGCAAGCCUGAUCCAGCAAUGCCGCGUGCAGGAAGAAGGCCUUCGGGUUGUAAACUGCUUUUGUACGGAGCGAAAAGGCUCUCUCUAAUACAGGGGGCUCAUGACGGUACCGUAAGAAUAAGCACCGGCUAACUACGUGCCAGCCGCCGCCGUAAGAC
rnacentral:rRNA from 1 species